rnacentral:rRNA from 1 species
GACGAACGCUGGCGGCGUGCCUAAUACAUGCAAGUUGAGCGCUGAAGGUUGGUACUUGUACCAACUGGAUGAGUAGCGAACGGGUGAGUAACGCGUGGGGAAUCUGCCUUUGAGCGGGGGACAACAUUUGGAAACGAAUGCUAAUACCGCAUAAAAACUUUAAACACAAGUUUUAAGUUUGAAAGAUGCAAUUGCAUCACUCAAAGAUGAUCCCGCGUUGUAUUAGCUAGUUGGUGAGGUAAAGGCUCACCAAGGCGAUGAUACAUAGCCGACCUGAGAGGGUGAUCGGCCACAUUGGGACUGGGACACGGCCCAAACUCCUACGGGAGGCAGCAGUAGGGAAUCUUCGGCAAUGGACGAAAGUCUGACCGAGCAACGCCGCGUGAGUGCAGAAGGUUUUCGGAUCGUAAAACUCUGUUGGUAGAGAAGAACGUUGGUGAGAGUGGAAAGCUCAUCAAGUGACGGUAACUACCCAGAAAGGGACGGCUAACUACGUG